GAAGAGUGUGCAGAGCCUUUCCCGGCCAGCGCCUUCACUCUUUGACUCCCUCAGUUAGUCCGCUUGUUUGCGAUUACAGAGGCUGGGGCUGCGAACCGAGGGUCUCGCUCCGCGUCGCCUGGGUCUCUAUCUCAUCCGUAGGUGUGGCCGUAAUGGUGCGGCAGGCUCUGGACUCCUAAAGCUUUGGAGCGAAUUUAAGAUUUUAUUCGUGUGCAUGGCAUAGAAGAUGAAUUCUUCCACCUCCACCAUGAGUGAAGAGCCUGAUGCUCUAUCGGUGGUUAAGCAGUUACGGGAUCUAGCAGCAGAUCCAUUAAACAGAAGAGCCAUCGUCCAGGAUCAAGGAUGUCUGCCUGACCUUAUUUUAUUUAUGGACCAUCCCAACCCUCCAGUCGUCCACUCAGCUUUACUCGCUCUUCGAUACUUGGCAGAAUGCCAUGCAAACAGAGAAAAGAUGAAAGGAGAAUUGGGUAUGAUGUUGAGCCUACAAAAUGUUAUACAGAAAACUACAACUCCAGGAGAAACAAAACUUUUGGCCUCUGAAAUCUACGACAUUCUUCAGUCCUCCAGUAUGGCAGAUGGUGAUACGAAUGCACGUCGAAGGAAAGCUCACUUUUUUCUGGGAACUACAAACAAACGUGCCAAAACAGUGGUUUUGCAUAUAGAUGGCCUUGAUGAUACGUCUCGGAGAAAUCUAUGUGAAGAGGCUUUGUUAAAAAUUAAAGGUGUUAUUAGCUUUGCUUUCAAAUGGCUGUUCAAAGAUGUGUGGUGCGAAUCCGUUCAGAUUUGAAAGCUGAGACUUUGGCAUCAGCAAUAGCAUCAACCAAGGUUAGGAAAGCUCAGCAAGUUGUGAAAAGCGAAAGUGGAGAAGAGAUGCUUGUCCCAUUCCAAGAUACUCCUGUGGAAGUAGAACAGAACACAGAGCUACCUGACUACCUGCCUGAGGAUGAGAGUCCCACAAAGGAACAGGACAAAGCGGGGUCCCGAGUGGGCUCACACCCAGAGGGUGGAGCUAGCUGGCUGGGCACAGCUGAAAACUUUUUAUCCAGAUCAUUUUAUUGGUGACUUCAGUUUGGGG